AUUGAACGCUGGCGGAAUGCUUAACACAUGCAAGUCGAACGGCAGCACGGGGGCAACCCUGGUGGCGAGUGGCGAACGGGUGAGUAAUACAGCGGAACGUGCCCAGUCGUGGGGGAUAACGUAGCGAAAGUUACGCUAAUACCGCAUACGAUCUACGGAUGAAAGCGGGGGACCGGAAGGCCUCGCGCGAUUGGAGCGGCCGAUGUCAGAUUAGGUAGUUGGUGAGGUAAAGGCUCACCAAGCCGACGAUCUGUAGCUGGUCUGAGAGGACGACCAGCCACACUGGGACUGAGACACGGCCCAGACUCCUACGGGAGGCAGCAGUGGGGAAUUUUGGACAAUGGGCGCAAGCCUGAUCCAGCCAUUCCGCGUGCAGGACGAAGGCCUUCGGGUUGUAAACUGCUUUUGUACGGAACGAAAAGGCUCUGGUUAAUACCUGGGGCUCAUGACGGUACCGUAAGAAUAAGCACCGGCUAACUACGUGCCAGCCGCCGCAGUAA
rnacentral:rRNA from 1 species